CUGGGCUCCUGGGCCCGGCAGACCGCCAUCUGCUCCUCCGCCCCCAACCUGGUCCUUCUCUGGUGCCUUAUUUUGUCCGAUGCACUCUCAGCCCCCAGCCAAGCACUCUCAUCCAGAGAAAUGAGCUGAUUCCCAAGGGAGGGGGAGGAGGAAGUGGGAGAGCGCUGGGCUCCCGCGAGAUCCCUCUGGGAGGGGGGCAGGUCUGCAGUCUGCGGCCUGGAGCCCGGCUACACCUUCCGCUUGCGCGUGGGUUAUCGCUCUGCACUCAUCCAUUCAUUGUCUCCCUGGAAGGAGGACAGUACCCGAUUGUACAGGUGGAAACAGAGGCUGAGAAGAAAGAGGUUUGUGAAAGGUUCACUUCCGGUGAAGACUUUAGGCGGAAAACCACGAUUGGACUGGAAAGCAUGUGGCUGUGUAGAACAGGAGGCAACACUGGUUUUAUUUAUUUAUCUCCAGACAGAGGAGAGGGAAAGAAGAAAGAGAGGGAGAGAAACAUCAACGUGUGGUUGUCUCUCGCACGCCCUCCACUGGGGACCUGGCCUGUGACUUAGGCAUGUGCCCUGGCUGGGAACUGAAUUGGUAACCAUUCGGUUUGCAGACCUGUGCUCAAUCCACUGAGCCACACCAGCCAGGGCUCAUUAGUUGAUUCUUGUAUGUGUCCUGACCGGGGAUUGAACUCACAACCUUGGCAUAUAUCGGGAGGACACCCUAACCAACUGAGUUGCCUAGCCAGGGCUGGAUUUGUUUUAUAAUUUUUAAUUUAUUCCAGCGAUUGUCAAUCCUUUUCAUCUCAAGGCACAGAUAAACUAAUUACUAGAAUUCCGUGGCACACCCAAAAAUAUA